GACUCGUCACACUAUCAUUAACUGAAUCCAUAGGUUAAUGAGGCGAACCGGGGGAACUGAAACAUCUAAGUACCCCGAGGAAAAGAAAUCAACCGAGAUUCCCCCAGUAGCGGCGAGCGAACGGGGAGGAGCCCAGAGCCUGAAUCAGCAUGUGUGUUAGUGGAAGCGUCUGGAAAGGCGCGCGAUACAGGGUGACAGCCCCGUACACAAAAGCGCAUGUGCUGUGAGCUCGAUGAGUAGGGCGGGACACGUGGUAUCCUGUCUGAAUAUGGGGGGACCAUCCUCCAAGGCUAAAUACUCCUGACUGACCGAUAGUGAACCAGUACCGUGAGGGAAAGGCGAAAAGAACCCCGGCGAGGGGAGUGAAAAAGAACCUGAAACCGUGUACGUACAAGCAGUGGGAGCACCCUUUGGGGUGUGACUGCGUACCUUUUGUAUAAUGGGUCAGCGACUUAU
rnacentral:rRNA from 2 species